rnacentral:lncRNA from 10 species
GCCUCAGCCUCCCAAGUAGCUGGGACUACAGGCGCCCGCCACCACGCCUGGCUAAUUUUUUGUAUUUUUAGUAGAGACGGUGUUUCACCGUAUUAGCCAGGAUGGUCUCAAUCUCCUGACCUCGUGAUCCGCCCGCCACGGCCUCCCAAAAUGCUGGGAUUACAGGCGUGAGCCACUGCGCCCGGCCUGUAUUUUUUAAUAGAGAUGGGAUUUCACCAUGUUGGCUAGUCUGGUCUCGAACUCCCCACCUCAGGUGAUCCACCCGCCUCAGCUUCCCAAAAUGUUGGAAUUACAGGUGUGAGCCACUUCGCUCGGCAUUCCUAUCUUAUUAAAGCCAUGGCCUGGUCGGGCGUGGGCGACAGAGCAAGACUCUGUCUCAAAAAAAAAAAAAAAAAAAAAAAAAGGCCGGGCACGGUGGCGGGCGCCUGUAGUCCCAGCUACUCGGGAGGCUGAGGCAGGAGAAUGGCGUGAACCCGGGAGGCGGGGCUUGCAGUGAGCCGCGAUAGCGCCACUGCACUCUGGCCUGGGCGAGUGAGACUCCGUCUCAAAAAAAAAAUUAAAAAAAAAUUAAAAUAAAUAAAUAAAUAAAAAAGCCAUGGCUUGAUUUGCACAAUUGCCAUCCUGAUACCCCACCUACCUGCUCUCCCCUGCUCUGUACCACACCAGGCACGCUCUCACCUCUGGGCCUUAGCAUCUGCUGUGCCUCCCAGCUGGUGUGCUUUUCCCCAUAUAACCACAAGUCUCCCUCCCUCACCUUUAGGUCUCAAAUCAAAUGUCACCUCUUCAGGGAGGCCCUCCCUGCCUUUGCGUUUCUUUUUCUUUUCUUUUCUUUUCUUUUUUUUUUUUUUUUGAGACAGAGUCUCACUCUGUUGCCCAGGCUGGAGUACAAUGGCGCGAUCUCGGCUCCUGCGACCUCCGCCUCCUGGGUUCAAGCGAUUCUCCUGUCUCAGCCUCCUGAGUAGCUGGGAUUACAGGUGCGUGCCACCAGGCGCAGC